rnacentral:tRNA from 1 species
GAGAGAGGUUAGAUAACAAUAAGAACUGCUAAUUCUUUCCCCCUAGGUUUAAUUCCCAGGCUCACUCG